AUGACUCCACUGAGGUCUGACCCAUUAGUCUGUGAUCCUCGAAAGUGGAUAACUCAUACGUACAACAACACCAAGUCUAGUACUGCUAGUGGAGAUUUGUGGUUUCCAGAACCUCUGAUUUUACCUAUGUCAAAGUCACCAUGUCAGAGAAUUGCUCCUGACUGGAAUCCUUCUUUUCAAGACCGGUGUUCUGUAAGUGAGGCAAUACCUGCUUGUAUAGGAAACACUUGUUUGAUCAACGAGGCCUUUCCAAGUGACUUGACUCAUUCACCCAGCUUUAGAUUUAGACAUGACACAUUUGAAAUGACAUCAUUCCAGCAAUAUGUGACCCCUUUGAAUGCUACAUACAGCCACCAGACCAUAGUUAUUAUGGAAGAGGAGCCUGCAGUGAUUGAGUCAGCCACUUACCUGUUUGAAAGGCAUUCUACUAUAUCAACUCUGCUGAAGUAUGAGAAGGGGACACUGCAUAUCGUCAGAGAAAGCCAUAUCUUUUCUACCACCAAUCAUGAUGUCAUACUAGUUGGCCAUGGAAGCAAAUCAAUCAGUGGAAAAGUUCAGCUGGCUGGUUUUGGCCCAGAGGAGCUUGCCAGAUUUGUGUCAACCUUAAAAACUGAAAUCAUCUCUGGUCAUCUUGGCACCAUCACCCUCAUCAGCUGCAACCUUGGCUAUGAGAUACACUUUAUUUUGCAGCUGUCAGAGGUUCUCCGGUCUCUCGGUAUAGAAACAAAGCUGCACUUAUUUCACUCUUUCUUGUCUGUUAGCUCCGAGGGAAAGCUAAUGACUAAAACUGAUGGAUUCUGGAAGUCCCAUGAUCACAGUAGAAGAGUCAUUGCUGAACUGGACCAAAGAGGUAACCUGCUAACCAAAGUUGAGCUUGGCUGUGCAGGGCCAGAGUUUCCCGAUUAUAAAGGAAGUGUUUUGUAUCUUCAGACGCUGGAGUGGCCAAAUCAUCCUCAAAUGUUUGUUCCAGCGGAGCUGCGCAAAAAGUACCCCUCUAUAGACUGCCUGGAGGGGCUUACUUGGAGCUUGUUCUUUGAGGAGAAUGAAAGAAGGCGUGCUCCUGAUUAUGUCCCAGACAACAACCAAAGACUCCUGAAACCAAUUUGGCUAACAGAACCAGGACCAGAAGAGGACAAAAUAGUUUUUAGACAUAUCGUUACCAUUCAGGAUUUACUUUUAGAGGUUCGAUACAAUGCCAGAGAGGAAGUUAUGUCAGACCUUUACUAUGUUCUUAAUGAAUGCAUUUACAAAGUACAUGGGAAAAAUCUUAGCGUUAGUCUGGUGGGUAAGUUCAUGAGCAAUGACAAUCAAGGUGAAACGGAACGCUUUCGUCAGAAUUUCAUUGGGCAGCAGAGCGAGUCUUCCCUGCACGAGCUGAGACAGGGUCUGAAAGCAUCCAAAUUCAACGACUUCUGUCGACAGACUUUCCAGUUCCAACAGUGUAGCUACAACUGCGAGAGAUGGGGUCAUUACUUCAUGGUAGCAGUGUUUUCAGCAUCGGUGCGCAACUUCAGAACCUUCUCGCUAUUCCUCAUGAGUGUCAUAGGUUGUGAAGUCGGCCGCUUACGGGGGACUGACAGCGCCCUGUGCACAGCAUUUGUUGGAGAUGACCACCCCAUGGUGAGUGAGCAACCCUGGCCCGAACAAUUCCGCAGAGGAUUCUAUGGCUGUACUGUCGAGAACUACGAACUGGCACCACAGGAGAGACAGAUGUGGUUAGAUGAAGUUGUAGCAAAAGAAAAUGCCCUGUUUGUGAAGUCAAAGCAGCUGAUGAAUGGUCUUUACCAUGAUGAGCAAACAGAGCUGGACAUCUUUGGAAGGGUCAAAGUCAUGAAUAAGUAUGUGUUUUCAUCUUUUCUAGAAUUCUUUCGAGGAACACCUGAAGGAAAGAGACUCAAGAGAGGAUGUACUCCCUCUCUGAAUGAGAAUUUAAAGCCAUAA
rnacentral:lncRNA from 1 species